rnacentral:rRNA from 1 species
UACGAAGGGGGCUAGCGUUGCUCGGAAUCACUGGGCGUAAAGGGUGCGUAGGCGGGUCUUUAAGUCAGGGGUGAAAUCCUGGAGCUCAACUCCAGAACUGCUUUUGAUACUGAGGAUCUUGAGUUCGGGAGAGGUGAGUGGAACUGCGAGUGUAGAGGUGAAAUUCGUAGAUAUUCGCAAGAACACCAGUGGCGAAGGCGGCUCACUGGCCCGAUACUGACGCUGAGGCACGAAAGCGUGGGGAGCAAACAGGG